AACCCCUGCCAAUGGAGCCACGUCGUUCAGACGAGCUUCCGAAUGACCGGGCCGGUGGCAAGCCUCCCGUCGGGUGGUACCGGGUGCCCGGUGACGGUCGGCCCAUGUACGAGUGCCAUUUCUGCCAGCGCAAGUUCGGCUGGAAGAGCAACCUGAUGGACCACCUGCGCACAGCAUACAGGAGAGAAGCCGUUCAAGUGCUCCAUGUGCCCCAUGGCGUUUGCACUCAGCUCCACCAUGGUCAAGCAUCUUCGCACCCACACCGGGAGAGAAACCGUUCAAGUGCUCCAUGUGCCCCAAGCGCUUUGCCCGGCAGGACCAUCGGGCACUGCACAUGAAGACCCACAAGGCAGAGACAGGUGGCCAAGUGGGGACCAGCUCUUCAAGCAAGCCAGACAGUGACUAGGAGAGGCAGUUUGGUCAGGUGAACUGUAAAUUUAAGUGUGGUGUUUUAUGUGACUCUCUAUUAGUGUUACUCGCCCUUCGCAACUUCAGGCACUGCUCGUCGGAGGAGUCGUUUUCAUCGGAUAUGAUCUGUGCAUGUCGUUUGAAGAUCAAGUUACCAGUACGUCUAGGAAGAGAGAAACACUGGUAGAAGAGUUCGCGUCAAGACGUGCUUUAGAAAAGCAGAACUUUUGAUAUUCUGCUGUGGAAAGCAGUGUAAGAGAAAUGAUCUGUGCUUGCUUGAGCUGUAAUAUAUUCUGUUGUCAUGUGAUGCACCUUCAAGAAUAUUAGGAAGUAGAAGUGCAGUUACUGUGAAUUGUGGUCCUCUCUUGAGUGCACCAUUGGCUUACAAUGUUCUCAGCAGCAAUGGGUACUUGUAAUGAAUACGACUUGAUCGUGUUUCUUAUGACAUGGUCUCUAAACCACCGGUGACCUUCUUUUAACACUUAAAAUAAGCACGUGCAUUACAACACUAUAAGAUGACUUUAUUGCUUUACGAGGAUGGCAGUACGAUGUUGUAUGAAGCAGUAGAGCGUGGCCUCCGCGAUUUGCUGCUGGCGGCGCGCCGUUGCUCCGGCCGUCCCAAUCGCCCGGAGUGAGCGUAAGUUGAAAAGGGGGCGUGGCCGCGUUUUUCGCCGCACCGCGGCGCGCGUAGCCUAAGGUCGCUUUCUUUGGCUUCCCCUGGCGCGGGCGGGCGCAGAGGACGAAAACUCAGCCUUCGCAGCCUGUGUGAGACGUUUAAUAAAAAAAUUACAACCGCUCAUCAAGGCAGUAGAUAGAAGUAGUUACGGGUGCCAUUUAGCCGUGUAAUUUUUGACGUAGACUAGGGCCGCUGUGAAGUGUAAGUGAAUUCAUUGCACAUCAGUAGUUCUCAUUUUUGUGGUGGUGGUGGUAAAUACAUUUUAUUGAGCAGAAAUAGAAAUAAGAAAA